CUUGGCUUUUAUCAAGUUUUAUCAAAAGAGCAUCAAACGGUAACAAAAAGUUACGUAAAGUUCAUACGUACUGUACAAUUUAGUGUUGCAAAGAUCUCAGAGCAAAGUGUUUCUCUUUCCUUCAUCGAACCACUAUAGAGCUGUGUUAGGUCUCAGAGCUGAAUGCAUCUUCUUUCAUGGUGAGGCAACCAAGUGAUACGUGCUGCAUGCUUGUCUUUCUAGGGAGAGCACAGCUCGCCUUGAUUAUUUUGGGUCCGUGGAGUGCAGAAAGGGUGGGACUCCCGGUGGAUGUAGAAAGACUUCCAAGCCUUGGUGUCACCCAGGAAUCAUCCCCAGCAAAGCAACCCUCGGAGACGGCGAGAUCCUGAGAACUUGGCCAGUCAUCUUGUGAGGGUGACGGAGGGCUGGAGUGGAGACAGCAGACUGCCACCUGUGAUACAGUCUCACCAUGCAAACUCCUGUUGACGAGCGAGUAUGGACUCUUGCUCCCCCACACAACACGCCUGCCUCCGCCGCCGAGAGCACACACCGACUCAAACGUCACAAGCCGGCGCUGAUUAAGUCUGGAGCUGAGUGUUUUCUACAUCAGGCGUGGGGGAGCUCCAGCCUGCUGUCUCUGACAUCGGCCACCUUUUCCUCAAAACCCUCUCGGUAUGUACCUUGAUUCGCUGUGCACUGCGCCCAUAACUGUUCAAUGUAUUGCAUUACAGUGGUAACAUUUUGUAAUGCUAAUUAAAAGUGAUUGUCAUGUUGAUUGUAGUCGCCUUAAUAAAUUGAUUUUCUUAUUCAAUCAUGUCUUUUAGUGGUGUUUCAGGCAGGACUGAAUAGUCCUGCCCCCACUGGCAGUGUUUGAUAGGGUUGCGUAGCUGCAGCUGUGAUUUUUAUUUUAUACUUCUGGACCUCAGGGCUGCAUUGUGUUCCAUAGUGUCCUGCCCAAAACUUUGUGGGCACCUUUUACGAUCGACUUUCUAAAUACAGGGUAAACAAAGGCUGACAGCUGGCAGGUUUGAUCUGGCCCGCCAACAACGAGCUGGGCUCUGCUCCCUCCCAGUUCCAAAGGAGAAAACCUGGAGUGUUGCAGGCAAGAUCUCGAGUCAGCCUGCGGUUCUCACACUUAAUUAGCAAGACAAACUGAGGGCCCCCUUGUCAGCUGAGUUGGAGUCAGCCUGCCUCUGCCGGGUUUAAGACCUGGGUCUUGACCAUCAUUCCAGAUACAGUAGAAGACUGGAUACAAAUCUGGUUUCAGAACUACGUUUUGCAACUUCAAAGGCAGUUGCAAAUUGGACAGUGCUGUUGCCAGCUCCAGAGAUAUACCCAGUCUAACUUGACCUACUGCAGUAAACUGGACAGAUAUCUCAAGGUCUCUUUCAGAACUACAGGAAUUUCUGUUGACUACAAUCACCAGUGUGUGACCAGUCUCUUUAACAACUUCAGGCCAAUCUACUUUAACUUCACCCUCAGUCAAAAAAUAAAUAACAUCAUAUAUAUCAUAUAAAUCAUAUAUAUUCCAUAACUGCCAGAACCCCAGCGGACCUAGAAGCUGUGAUCAGCUCUGAACCAGAAACAGGAACAUGCUCCAGCACGUUCUUUCAGUCACUGCCCACAUAUCUGCAGAAUGAAAUUACUGGGGUUUUAUAGUGAUUUCCUGUGUUAACUGGGGGAUUUUGGCAGUACUGUACCUCCUCUUCCACACUCAACAAUAUAAUAUGGUUAAAUAUUAGAAUUCUAUUGAUCCUAUUGCUGUUGUAGACGGUGAUUUGAAGUGACAGGGUGAGUACACAUUAAUCAUCUCAAGCAUUUGUAGAAACUUCAGAAUCUUACAACAUAUUUACUUUACCAUACAGUACAUUUUCCAAAUGCUUCAGUAGAACGGUUUGGAAAAAAAAACUAGAAUUGUUAAUUUAAGCAUUUGGGGAAUGGUUGUAAGGUAGAUGCAACUAGGUACAAAUCAGUACAAGAAUUUGUGGCGAGAACUGUCUUAGCAUCUCACGUGGUACAGUACGUGAUAAAUACAUAUAAAUUGCAUUAUUGCUUUUAAGUCAUUCCUUAUGGCUUAUUGUGCUCAUGCUGAAAUAAUACCACUUAUUUCAGUUCAGUUGCUUUUUCAGUAAAACAUCACUGGAUUUUAUUAAACCAUGUGCUUUUAGUGUUCAUCUCUCAUUUUGAAAGCAUUCUUUUGACAAAUUAACCACAAAGCCUUAAAACCAGCAGCUCCUAAAUGAGAGAAACAGGUUGUUUAUUACACUGCUGUGACUAAACGUCUCUUCCAGAAUGCAAGUUUAGUUUGAGCAGAGUCAGAGUUGGCAGCUGCAAGAUGUUAUUUCUACAACAUAAAAUUUGAAAAGACAAAAAUAAUAAACCACAACAGUGCCCAUGAAUUAAAAAAAAUCCUACCAAAGACAAACAACUUGACAUCCCUAAAACAUGAGAGUAUUCCCACAGCUUUUGUAUCCUUUAUGCUGAAGCAAUACAGUACAUGUGACAAACCCACUCAAAAUAUCUUAUGUUACAACACGAGUAACUACUGGCUGGAGCAGUUAGCUGUCAUGGUUUGAAGAGAAAUGUUAUUUCAGUGAAAAACUGAGAAUAAAAAAUGUGCAUCAACCAGCACUUCAGCUUCCACAAUUUGUAGUUGAGGAACUGCAGUUUCCUUUAGCUGCACAUAUGCACGCACCCAUACUACAGAUCUCUCUAAUCUCAAAUCUUUAUCUAAAGUCAUGCGAUGACGCUAAGCGUUUGGCACAGAGGUGCAACACUGUAUGUGUCAUGUUAGCUCUUUAGGGUUUGGUACAGUUAUUUAUGUACAGUGUUUAUGUUUGAGCCAGUGCAAUCAAAUGUUAGACUUGGAGUAAAGUUAUUUUUAAGCAAAUGUUGAAACAAGUUUAACAAACAAAGAGUGAACAAUAACGUGUUCUCCGAAACGCAUUUUCUUGUUUUAGCUCAUUGGUUUCAAUUUGUUUCUUUCCAGUGUAGGGGGUGUCCCUCGCUAUUGGUCCUAAAAAGCCACAGUCCUGAUGGUUUUAUAGGGAACUCAACAUCCUCAAAUGCUAAAGACUCAGUGCUGGAAUUAAAACCAAACAGGGCAAUACUGGAAUUAGUGUGGCCUUCCAGGACCAGGAGUGACGAUCACUGAUGUUGGCGAUCAAUAUUGAAUGUAUAAAAAUUAAUAUCUGUUGUAAUCAAAUACCAUUUUAGUGUACUGUGGGUGUCCUUUCCAGCAUUUAGAAUUCAGAGACCUAUGAAAUACUAUUAUAACACAACCUCCUUUUAAAGUUAAUUGUUGUGUUUAAAAUGAUAUUAACUCCUGCCUUUGUUUCCACACUCUGAUUGAAGGGCUGAGAGAUCUUAUCAGUUGAAAGGACUGUAAAUUAAUAAUCUGUGUAUUAUCUGCAUUAGUACUAAAAUUAAAGCUACCUCAAAUAAUCUAUAUUAGUUUUAAUGCAUCACAACUCUAUUGUUGUUUUCAAAAGGUAAAGAUAACAGUAUGUUGACUAAUUAAGAGCUCAUAUGUGUUGGAUUAGGUAAAAAUAGAUGUAUAUUUAGUUUAAAAGGCAAAUGAUUGUGUGUACAGUGGAAAUCUGAACAUAAAAUAUACCAGGCUUAUCUAAAUAUACUGUAUGCAUGUGUCAAACCCAGAACCUUUAGGACAUGAAUUCAGAAUUUGUCCUUGAAGGUUUUCACCUUAAUUUGUGCACCUUAACAUAUUUAAGAUUUUUCUUAGAUAAGGUUAAGGUUUUAGAUCAGGUGUGAGACACUCAUUUUCUGAAAGGGCUGCAGAAUCCUCCACUUUUUCUUCCAAAUUUGGUCUCGUUUGGUCUCAUUAAUUGAUGUGAUAAUUAAGAAAUUGCUUCCCUGUAUCUGCAGUAUACAAAGAACUGGGGAAAUGGGGUUAAACUGAUUAAGUUAAACUACUAAUUAGCUCAAUUAGCUAAGAGCAUGGGAGGAAUGAAACACGACAGCCUCUACGGCUCUCCAAGACAAGAGCAGUUUAUGAAUGAAUUCAGAUCACAAAGACUUACCCAUAUAGCAAAGGGUUAAAACUACAGUUUUGUCAGAUGAGCUUGAUCCACGUUACAGUUGCAAUAAAGCUGCAUCAGGUCUGGCUUGACGUAUUCACUUGUUCCACUUAAAUAAUUACCCGUGUUCCAUCUGCCGACUCUGGUUUUAGACACAAUACCUAAGAAAUGCUCAGAGGCCGGGAUAGACAAAUGUUGCCCUUUGACUCAAAUAAUGCGAUAAAGUAAGAGAGCUACAAUGAGGAUGCAGUCCUGGUAGCCACGGAAAGAGACAUAGCUCACCAAUAGCAUUGACAGUUUUGCCUGAAAGUGAACAAAUAAAAUCUAAAAUAUUAAUCAUCACAAAGAUUACAACUGCCUGUACUUUUGGCUAGGAGUACUGUUGAGGCUAAAAUAAAGGGGGUAAAUACUAAAUAAAGUACCUACUGUUAUUACUGCCACUGCUGCUCUUACUGUGACUAAUACUACUCAUUAAUAGCAUCAGGAGUCACAAGAGACAUCUUAGCCAAUUCUAAUACAGAGGAGCAUACUGGAAAACUAAUAAUCAAUAAGGUACUUGACAGUUGACUAUUCAAGAUAUCUCCCAAGACCAACAAAGAAAAAUGUCUCAUUUGUGAUCUUGGUUCCAGUUUUAGUCAAAUACAUAUAAUAUAAGUGUAUCUUUACUUUCAGACUGACAGAAAGGUGUGGAUUAUAAUGAUCAACCCAGUCUUCCAAAUCGGGGAUGAGUGUCACCAACUGACUACGUUCUCUAGCUGCUUUCCUGCUCUGGUCUCAAUUACUUAAACUGCAAUAUAGUAUCUGUAAAAACUACAGGACUUGCCUCUCCCUGAUAUAAAGCCAUCAGGUCCUCAGGGAAUACAGAGACUGAAUAACCUGCAAUUAAUCUAUUGUAAGAACCUACAAUUAAAGGCAGUUGGUCUAGUUCAGCUAAUUAUUUCACUUGGGUAGCUAAACCCACAAGUGGAUUAAAAACCAGAUGACACUGCAUCCAUAAGACUGGAACUGUGCACUGCUGCUGUAAGUGAACAGCACUUGGUGAGAUAACUGCUUCUUUAGGUCAGGCCAUCCUAAUUCAAGGCCACUGGCAUUAAUUUUAAUUCAGACUGCCAAAGUGCAUUUUAUUUAACUAUUGGAGAAGUGAAAUUCCCCUUAAUAUUCAUACAAGAUAGAAUUUGGAGGCUAUAUUCAGAAAAUACUAACACAGGAGGCGCUUCUGUUAUUUAAGGUGAACAAAACUGGCAAAUGUUCCAAUGCUUUCAUGUUUAUAAAAACGUUUUUAUAUGCUGCGCCAGCCAAAAAUGUGGAGGCAUAAUAAAGAAAGGAUCAUUCUUUUUCC
ensembl:lincRNA